rnacentral:lncRNA from 1 species
AUCCCACAGAGAAUAGCUUGGCCAACAAGCAAGAGAAAUUACUAGACUUUUAGUGCAAGUCUCGUAGGAAAGGGGGGAUUGUAGUAUGUAACCCAAAACAAGAAUGUAAGAACUGAAAAUAGCAAAAUAAAGAGAGAUUGUCACGUGUGUUGUAAACAAUGAGAAUUGGGGCGUUGGGGUUAUGUCCACCUUCUGAGGUAUACGUCUCUAUUGGCUAUGAGUGUGUAGAGUCUUGACAUGUAAUUGCUUAUAGAGAAUUGUAGUCGAUGGUAAAUCCAAGCGUCUCUCGACCUAAACAAGGACUAUUUCACUUUAACUCUCUCGAGCUUAAAGCGUGACUAACGGUACGAAUUCUCCAAGAAGUUAGUCCAGGUACGGCACUAGCUUUUUAAUAGGAAAGGGUGUC